AUGUCAUGAUGGGGACACUUCCUUAACGGUUCCUUGAAAUUCUCCCAAGCAUUAUAUAAUGAUUCACUGUGAGUUUGCUAGAACUUAUUAAUCUCCUUUCUCAAUCG